rnacentral:rRNA from 1 species
CGGGGCCUCGAGCCCCCUGAAGAGUCGUUCGAGACCAGGACGUUGAUAGGCCGGGUGUGGAAGCGCAGUAAUGCGUUGAGCUAACCGGUACUAAUUGCUCGUGAGGCUUGACCCU